UACGCGAAGGGGGCUAGCGUUGCUCGGAAUCACUGGGCGUAAAGCGCACGUAGGCGGAUUGUUAAGUCAGGGGUGAAAUCCUGGAGCUCAACUCCAGAACUGCCUUUGAUACUGGCGAUCUCGAGUCCGGGAGAGGUGAGUGGAACUGCGAGUGUAGAGGUGAAAUUCGUAGAUAUUCGCAAGAACACCAGUGGCGAAGGCGGCUCACUGGCCCGGUACUGACGCUGAGGUGCGAAAGCGUGGGGGAGCAAACAGG
rnacentral:rRNA from 1 species